UCGAAGACCGGGAUGGGCACCACGGACAGCGCCGCUUAGUACUGACAAGAGGGGAAAUUUUCAAACUCACCGCAUUCCUACGGGGGCAAUCAUCAUUUCCAUAUCUACUCAACAUGCUGGCAUCACUCAUCCUCCAUAGUGGCAGCAGCUCCAUUGAUUUUCCUUUUUGCAAAAGAAAAAAAUGUUCCCACAUGCAGGUAGUUUUCCACUAUUCUCAGCAUCGUCACAUAUUCAGCUCUGUGUGAGACAGCACCACCAAGGUGCCCACUAAAGCUAGUGAAGAGUGCUGCUGGUAAUAAGCAAGCCCUGCCAAUGUAACAGUGGCCUGCUCACACAGAGGGACACUGAGUAGGACUGAGGAAAACCUUCAUUGUCAAAUGAGUAACUUUUUUUUUUUUAAUUAUUGGGCAUAAAACACAUGCAGCAUUUUUUGUAAAUGCAUAUACUUAUU